GGACGCGCAGAGCUCCGAGUGGCCUCUCCCUCUCCCCCGCAUCCGCGCCCCAAGCCCUCUGCAGGCUGGAGCCCAGCAUCCAGAGUCGCCGAUUUCUUAUUGAGAACUCAGCCCAGAGACAGAAGGCAAUAGCAACUGUGCCGCAACUCAGGCCUAGAGAUUCCUGCGAGAACCUUCCUACAGCGACAAGUACAGUACACGCCUUCUCCGGAACAUGCCAGGAAGGAAGUAUGCCCGAUCACCCUCUGGACUGAACCAAGCCCCAGAAGGAGAUGUGACUUUGGAAGAAGGACCAGAGGGAUGCAACGUUGCUGGCUUUGAAGAUGGAGGAAGGGGCCAUGAGCCAAGGAAUGCAAGUGGCCUCUAGAAGCUGGAAAAGUCUUAAAUGGAAAAAAGGAGGGAAGAGCGUGGACUGGAUGGCACCUAUAUCUCCCUCUUCCUGAAACUGUCCUGGGAGGGCUUCCAGUUGGUCAGUAACUAUUGAGCCAUCUCUGGCCCAUCCUAACAUAGACAGGGUAGAAGGCAAAAGAAAGAAGAGAGGAGUGGGGGCUUCCCUGGUGGCACAGUGGCUGAGAAUCUGCCUGCCAAUGCAGGGGACACGGGUUCGAGCCCUGGUCUGGGAAGAUCCCACAUGCCGCGGAGCAACUGGGCCCGCGAGCCACAACUACUGAGCCUGCGCGUCUGGAGCCUGUGCUCCGCAACAACAGAGGCCGCGAUAGUGAGAGGCCCGCGCACCGCGAUGAAGAGUGGCCCCCGCUUGCCGCAACUAGAGAAAAG